AAAUAUAUAUAUUUAGCUAACUUCUUAAAGGAAAGUUGCUAUAUGCCUUGUAUUCUAUGACUCCUCGUUCCAGUAUCCUUUCUCCUCCCCCAUCAUCCAGGUCACAUAGGAGAGUGAUCAGCACGUCUUGGGAGCACAGUAGACACAGAUUUAGGAGAGCCCCUGCCUGUAGUCUCCCAAUCAAAUCAUAGGAACACUGUGAGACUCUGGGGUGAGCUUGCAUUUGCAGACAGGAACUGAAGGGCUGGAGAGGUUACACUCAGCCAGGUGCAGUUGCCCAGCAUGUGAAAGAGGAGACAUUCUAAACCCUGCACUUAAAAUAAAUAAAUAAAUAAAGUUA